UGCUGGUUUGGAGGCUGCCUUCUUAUAGCUGGAGAGUUCAAGUUCAAUUAGGGUUUGGAAUCCCUAUUUUGACUUGGUCUUUGUGGUCUUUGAUUCCUCUUUUUCUUCUUGUAUAUUGUUGUAGAUGGAAUUCUCUUGGUAGAAGGACAUCUUUGUGGCUUUUGGAUUUGAGCUGGCAGUGUUUGAAGUGUUUUUGAGCUUCUAUUCUUUUUAAAUAUGAUUUUUCCCUUUUUCCCGCUCUGCUGUCAAUGUGAUUGGGGCGGGUGAUUUGGGCAGAUCACUUGCCCCAAUCGCUUUCUGUGAGUCCGUCCAGUUUUUCUAUCUCUGCGAGUGAUUUGGCCAGUCUCUGCGAGUGAUUUGGCCAAAUCACUCUGGCCCAAUCACUUUUCCAGCCUUUUCUGCACUUUUUCUCCAAUUUUCCAAUUUCUUCCUUUUCUGUAAAAACAAGAUAAAAACCAUAAAUUAAGCUAAAAAAUGUGUAAAUAAGCAAUGAUAAAGAUAAUAAAAAUGUGGCUAAUUUAUGUUUGAUCAAAUACCCCUACACCUAGCUUUUUGCUUAUCCUCAAGCAACAAACAACUUAGUCAAUCAAGCCCCUUUUUUCUUUAGAGCCUAAGUACCACUUAAUCAGCCCCCCCUAGACUCCUAAAUUGAAGUAUUACAGUGUAGAGUACAUGCACCAAGGUUGUUCUCUCUUUUCCUUGUUUCCCCUCACCUACUAUGGUCAAAGGAAAGGUUUUUUAUUCAAUCAUGCUUAUUCUCUUUGUAUAAGCUCAAUACAACCUCUAAGAGUGACUUGCCCUUCUUUGAGCAUUUUAUUUUAUUUCAGCAGCACCUUUUUUAUUCUUGCCUGAAAAAGUCACUAACCUUUUUACGCGAAGGUGCAUAUUGAUGAUACCCACCCCCGGUUACUCAGUUAGUCACUUGUUCAAGUGGCUACUAGCUUUGUUCAUAGCUUAUUUGGCCAUAGGAACAGGUUUAUGAUUUGUGCUUUUGUGCUGGUUUUUUUUUUUCUUUUUCUUUUUCUUUUCUUAACAGUUUGGGCAAAUCAGCUCAUAGAGAGUUACACCAAAUUUUUUAUUUGCAUGUGUUUAUAUUUUUAUUUCUCUUGACCACAGCAAAUUUAGAGAUUUAAUUCAAGAAAAGAACUUCCUAAGUGAAGGUAGCACACUGUAAUUGAUUCAAUUUAGGCUUAAAGGGGUGGAAAAUCAAUGGGUCAUGAGAUAGAAAACUUUUUUAACCUUGUUAUCUAUGCUGAGUAGAGCAAUAGCUAAGACAAUAUUCUCUGUGUGUGUGUAGGAAGUGAAAAAUGUGUGUAAAGAAAAUUGUGUGAAAAGAAAAAAAAAUUUUGGUGUGUGUCAUAGGGCAAAAAGAUGCAAAAAGAAACAAAAAGAAAGCAAAAAGAUAAUGUAAUCAAUGCAAAAAUAACCUAACAGUACCCCCACAGCUAAUGCAAACAUUGUCCUCAAUGUGUAAACAUAUAUAUAUAUAAUUUAAGAAGGAAAGGGAAAGGGACUUCCUGGCCUGGGGGUGAUUUGGGCAAAUCACCCGGCCAAAUCACUGGCUGCCAUGGUCUAUGGGCAGAAAGUGUUGAACUAGCAGCUGCAGCAUGCUUUCCAUAUGCUGCAUCCUGUCUUCGAUUCUAGUGAGAUGAGCCUCCACCGAAUGGUCUUGAGGUGCCUUUUAUGCCCUCCAAGGUCCACUCAAUUGCUUUCUUGUGUUUUCUCAACACCUUUAGGAGUUUUUCCUCUUCUUGCUGGCUGAGUUGAUUAGAUACUAUGACUGGAAGUGUAUUUCCAGCCUCCAAGUAGGUAUAUUUGUGGUGCCCUGGUAAGGGUUUCAGAUCUAGUGCAGUUGCUUGUUGUCUGCUCACUGACUUGGGCAGAUUUUUUGGUGCUGGGUUUGGUGAUUUGGGCAGAUCACUUUCUGUCAUGUCUGUCUGCUCCAGUGAUUUGGGCAAGUUGGGAUCUACCUGUAUUGGUGAUUUGGGCAGAUCGACUUCUGCCUUCUCUUGCUGUGUGGGCAAACAACAAUCUUCCUCAUGGUUCUUUGCUGGCUGCUUGAGUGAACAACAUUUUGUCAAGGUUACUUGCCCGACUGAUCUAGGAAAACUGUUUCCAGCUUGCUGAAGUGGUUUGGAUAGGCUGCAAUAUUUUUGUGCUUGGUGCUGGACCUGUUCGGGCAAACAAGAUUCUACCUUGACUUGCUGUUUGGGCAAACAAGCUUCUACCUUCUUUUCCUCUGCUGGUGGUUUGGUCAAAUAGCAGCUCACUUGUGCUAGUAAUCUGGUCUUGCUGGAUUCUGCCCUCUCAUGCUGUUUGGGCAAACAGCAAUCUGCUUGUUGCUUCUCUGCUGGUUUUUCAGGUGAACAGUGUUCUGCCUUUGUUGUUUGCCCAACUGAUCUGGGCAAACUGAGUUCUUCUUGCUGGAGUGAUUUGGGCAGUCUGCCAUUAGUCUCAUCUGGUUGCUGAACCUGUUUGGGCAAACAGGGGCUUGCCUGUUCUGCCUUUGCUGGCUGUUUGGGCAGAUAGCAGUCUGCCUGUGCUGCCUUUUGUUUGCUUGUUUGCCCAGUCUGUUUGGGCAAACAGUAGUCUGUCUGCUCUAGGCAGCAAUCCUUUGCUAUCCGAUUCAGCUUUUCUUGGCUUCUUUCAUCUUCUUGGAUGUCUUCCCUACAAAAAUCAUAGGUUAGUAUAUCAUUUUGAUCCAUAUCAAAAAAUUUUUGGCUCAUAUAAUUAAUGAUAUCUAAACUUUCAACAGGUUCUAGAAUUUUUUGGGCAAAAAUUUCUGGUUUUUGGGCUGGUUUGGUUGCAGCAGCUUGCAUAUUAUAUUCUGCCAUAUCAGCGGUUGUUUGGACAAACACAGCAGUGGGUGAAUUUGCUGGUGCAGAAAAUUCUGCAGCAGGUGCAGCGGCAAAAUCUGCUGAUGCAGAAAAUUCUGCAGCAGGUGCAGCAGCAAAAUCUGCUAGUGCAGAAAAUUCUGCAGCAGGUGCAGCAGCAAAAUCUACUGGUGCAAAAAAAUCUGCUGGUGCAGUGGUGAUUUGUGCAGCAGACUCAACAGCUCGUUCUGUUUCUUGGGAACUUUCGUCAUCGUCCCAUAGAUCUUGAAGCUCUUCCUCUCUUCUUAAUAUGUGCAUGUUCACUGAGUUGACCGCUUGAUCCACUUGUUGUUCUUAAUAUUUGCGUGUUCACUGAGUUGACCGCUUGAUCCACUUGCUGUUGGAGAAUUUUCCCAGAAAUUUCCAAUUUCCUUAUCAUCUCUUCAAGUUCCAUAUUGGAGUUUUGAGGUGUUGCUUGGGCUUGAUAGUUUUGGUAGUAGUUAGCCCUUGCAUAGCCAUAAUUCGGGUGGUCCCUCCAAUAUGGAUUGUAGGUAUCAAGGUAGGGAUCAUGUCUUGGCUGGCUAUUGAAUCCUCCAAAGGCAUGUACUUGCUGGUAAUCCUCAUAAAGUGUAGGACAUCGAUCAGUUGGGUGUCCUACAUAUGUGCAAAUCCCACAUGGUCUGAUUUGCUGAAGUUGUUGAACUUGUUGAGCUUGACCUAUACCAUAAUUUCUCACAAUAGAGGUUAGUUUAGAAAUUUGAGAAGAGAGAAAAGACAUACUUACCGUAGCCAUGUUUGUAAGGUCUUGGCAGUGCAUUCAAUUUCUGGAUCGUAAAGAAGAACUUCUUUACGAUUAGCCCUGGUCAUAAAAGGAAAAUACAUUAGUUAGAUCAAAUCCCCGACAACGGCGUCAAUUUUUUAUAGCGGUUGUCGAAGCCAUAAGAAAUAAACCUAUUAAACAAUCAACAAUUAACUUGUAGAUAGUGGCAAUAGGGUCGAACCACAGGGAUUUGACACCAAAGAUUUUCCUAAUAAUGACUAAGGCAAACAAAUAACAAAUAAAUAAAAGAGGGGGUUUUGUUUUGAUGGAUUAAAUCUAGAAAGCAAGAGAAAGCAAUAAUUUAAAUAAGUGAGAAUUUCAAUGGGGAAAGAUUCUAGUUGAAAUAUGGAUCUAUUUCAGUUUGUUCAGAAUUGAUCAUUGAUUAUUUAAUACUCCUAUUUUAAUUCAAUAAAUUAGUUUUGGUUGUGGAAGACGCUUCUCACAACCAAAUUCCUCCUUAGUUCUAGUUUGAUUAGGAAACAUUCGCUAAUCAAAUACUAGUCAACAAGUUGCCAAGGAACGUCCUUGGGGCUUUUAGUAUCGAACAACUGUUGACUGCAUUAAGACUUAGAGAAACCCAAUUCUAACCUUGCCAACCGCGUGGUCAAGUUUAGAUUAUGCAACCGAUUAUACUUGUGUUUAAACAACCUAAGCAAUUACGGACUUAAAUCAUUCAAACAAUAUAUUACUCAAGCAAUUAAAAGCAAUAGGCCUAAAUUGAUUCCAAAAGCAAAGUAAUAAUUAUAGAAAGAUCAAGUUGCAUAAAUAUUGAAAGCAAAUAGGAGUUUAAUAAUGGAGUUUUAAAUCUCCCAAUUCAUCACAAAUCUGAAUUUCCCUAAUUUCAACUAGAAAGGAAUGGAAUUUAGCCACUCAUGGUGGAUAAAAUCACAAAAGAAAGGAGAAAAGAAGAGAAGAAGGGAUUGCCACAGGCUUCCUACUGAAUUCUGCAGAUUUCUGAAGGUGGAGAGAUGCCCUUGCUGGUUUGGAGGCUGCCUUCUUAUAGCUGGAGAGUUCAGGUUCAAUUAGGGUUUGGAAUCCCUAUUUUGACUUGGUCUUUGUGGUCUUUGAUUCCUCUUUUUCUUCUUGUAUUUUGUUGUAGAUGGAAUUCUCUUGGUAGAAGGACAUCCUUGUGGCUUUUGGAUUUGAGCUGGCAGUGUUUGAAGUGUUUUUGGGCUUCUAUUCUUUUUA
rnacentral:lncRNA from 1 species